CUCUUGACAUCCAGAGAACUUGGCAGAGAUGCCUUGGUGCCUUCGGGAACUCUGAGACAGGUGCUGCAUGGCUGUCGUCAGCUCGUGUUGUGAAAUGUUGGGUUAAGUCCCGCAACGAGCGCAACCCCCUAUCCUUUGUUGCCAGCGAUUCGGUCGGGAACUCAAAGGAGACUGCCGGUGAUAAACCGGAGGAAGGUGGGGAUGACGUCAAGUCAUCAUGGCCCUUACGAGUAGGGCUACACACGUGCUACAAUGGCGUAUACAAAGAGAAGCGACCUCGCGAGAGCAAGCGGACCUCAUAAAGUACGUCGUAGUCCGGAUUGGAGUCUGCAACUCGACUCCAUGAAGUCGGAAUCGCUAGUAAUCGUAGAUCAGAAUGCUACGGUGAAUACGUUCCCGGGCCUUGUACACACCGCCCGUCACACCAUGGGAGUGGGUUGCAAAAGAAGUAGAUAGCUUAACCUUCGGGAGGGCGUUUACCACUUUGUGAUUCAUGACUGGGGUGAAGUCGUAACAAGGUAGGCGUACGUGU
rnacentral:rRNA from 1 species